GAGUACAUCAGCCUCAGGUGGGUUUUGCUCUGGUGACCUUGAGUCCCUCCUUUGCUGUGAGAGCUCAACAGAUAUUCUGCUGAAUAGAGCAGAAAUAAAGCUCCUCGUGCUUGAACAUCUGGAAGUCACAGUUCACGUACUGUUGAAUCCUGGCUUGGAGAAUUUUGAGCAUUACUUUACUAGCGUGUGAUCAGAUCAGAUCAGUCACUCAGUUGUGUCCGACUCUUUGCGACCCCAUGAAUCGAAGCACGCCAGGUCUCCCUGUCCAUCACCAACUCCCGGAGUUCACUGAGACUCACGUCCAUUGAGUCAGCGAUGCCAUCCAUCGUGUGAGAUGAGUACAAUUCUGCACUCCAAGGCCAAAUUUGCCUGUUACUCCAGGUGGAUUCUUUACCACUGAGCCACCAGAGAAGUUCCUGGUGUGUGGAUCACAACAAACUAUGGAAAAUUCUUAAAGAGGUGGAAAUACCAGACCACCUUAC
ensembl:lncRNA